GUGUUGUGCCGUGCUAAGCUAACCUUCAAACCUUUUGCCGGACUUCGUGAUAGCAAAAUAUUCGUGGACAAGACGUUUUUGAUCCAAAAGUUCCUCUCGGGUCGCUCGCGGCAUAUGCUGGUUACUGCCCCUCGUGGAUCCGGAAAAUCCACAUGCUUAGACAUGGUGCGGAAGUUUGCAGAGAUUGAUGUUUCCGCAAAUGGAACCAUGAAGGCAGAGAAGUGCACCCACAAGAACUAUAAAAUGUUCGCUGAGAUUGUUCCUAGCUCUGGAAAAUUCUUGAACACUUUUCGGAGGAAGAAGUUCUUCGAGAAACAUUUCGGGGAGUAUCCAGUUAUAUUUUUGGAUCUUGCUAUGAAGGGUUCAAGACCUUUGAUAGGUCAGGCAUGUUCUUGGUGAGAAUCGUUCCUUACUUUUCUGCAGAGUGACUGACUAUUUCGGUUAAAAAUACUGGAGAAAAUUGUAUUCAUGGUGUGCUCCAUUAAGUAUUUGAAGGUUGUUGAAUAGGUAAUCUUUACAGAGUAUUUUGCAUAUUGUACUGAUACGUAUCUGUUGGUAGGCAUUUUUAAUCAAAUUUGUUUAAAGGAAAAGCAAUCAAUAUGGUAUGAGAAAUGCGUGCUUUAAGUUCGAAUUUAUAUGAAGCCGUGUGGUAUUAAGCGAUGAACUUCAGAUUGCAAUAGUGAUUUUACCAACUUUUUCUGUUGUCACACAUUCCCCUUUAUCAUCAUGCUGUUUGACUUAAUCGUGGCACCAGCCUAUUUUAUAAAGUUUCUUGUCACUACAUUCGAGAAAUAAAUGUGUUUUCACUAAUUUUUAUAAUGGUUUAUGAUAGGCACUCCUUGGCACAGAAGUUCUUGACCGGCCCGAUAAAAGCAGCAUUUGAAGAUCACUCAUACCUGCUGAAAUCUCCAUUGCUAUCGUCUUACGACAAGGAUCGCAUGACGCUAUUCCUGAACCCUACGCAGGAUAUCCUCAAGGCACAUUUUCAAGUGGGGUCUGGACCGCGAGAGGGUUUAGGGCUCUUAAAGAGGCUCUUAAAGCAGCACUUUCAAAGAGACUCCAUCGCACUAAUUGACAACAUGGAUUCGCAACUUCAGGAGUUGAUUUUCGAUCCCCAACAGCAUUCUGACCGUUCUAUGGAGAAACUGUUUGAGGUUGGUGACAUACUAAGAGCUCUGCCUGACUGGGAUUUGCGAGCAAGGGCUGAACCAACCUACAGGACCCUCGCCAUGGGUGUCUUGCAGCCAUUUCACGCUUCAAAGCUGUACAAAUAUUUUCCAAGAGCUUACGACGAGCUAAUGGAUACAUUUUUUGUCUUAACCGAUGUUGAGGUCACUACACUACUCGAGACAAUGGCGUUGACGCACCAUAAAGAAGAUCUUAAGGCUUGGUACGGAGGCUUCCACGCUUCAAACGCCUACAAUCCAUACUCAGUGUUUCGAUUUUUGGCUGAGGGUGACACCAAAGAAUUUAGGUACGUAAUGAACAAUUUAGAGAAUGUAUGCAUGGGGUUUAAUUUAAAUAAAAUAAGUAUAAUCAAUAUAUUCUUUUUUACUAGAGAAUGCCAUUUCCGGCGUUUUAUAUAAAUUACAGGCCCUACUGGACUGAAUUGGUCUCUUUGGAGGUUUUUAAAUCAACCUUACGACCGGAGUGCUUUGGUCAACACAUCAUGCUCUGUCUGAGGAAAGGUGAAUUUCCCGAGUCCUGGUGGAAUCCUAGCCAAUUCUGGAUGGACUUUGGCCACGGAACUCUGCCAAACUCAACGACUCUUCUGCAAGAUCUUCAAAACUCCUCACUCGAAUCACGCUGCACCAAUGGAGCAGCUUUCGAUUUCCUGAAUUUUUUGAACAACUGUGGUUAUUUGAGCUACGAAGGCUUAAAUAUUAGGAGAGCUACGCAUACAUUCAGGUGCCAAAUUUGGAUGUAAGACCAAGCACCAAACUUUAAACCCUAUAACUAUUUAGAGCUAAUGGUCGAUAAUUCACCGUCUCUCUGAUUUAAUUUCCACAUGAGACCACACUAUGUUCAUGCAUGAGCCUCGCUUCCAGUGUAAUCUUCUUUUCAUGAACAGUUACAUGAAAGAAGGAUGAACUGUUGUUAAAUCCGGAUCUAAUUUCAAUCAAUUCAGAGAUUAAUCAAAACUGAUAGCAAUAAUUAAUAAUGAGAUUUAAUUUUAUAAAAUCAUUUCACAUGCAUUUAUCAUCAGAAAAAAACUUUUAAAUUACAAAACUUUCGCAUUGCAAGGUCCUUGUACAGCCCUCUCUGCAGCGUAAAACCUAAUUAAAAAUCCCUUAAAAUAAAAAUAGGUAGAGCUACCGGUAGAGAGUAGGAAGCAAUCAUGGCGAGGAAUAUUCGUCCUCUGGGCUGAAUUUAAUCUUAACUAAAUAAUGCAUCCUAAUGAAUGUGACGGUGUUUGGAAAAAGUAGACUUUAGGUUAGGAAAUACAGUUGAGAAUAUUAUGAAAUGUAUAAGAUAUUGAAAGGGCUCGUUCUGCAUCUAUAUUGGCACGAACGACAUUAUCCCCAAAAAUGGACUCUUUGAGAGCAAUUUAAAGUUACUGAAUGAUGAAUUGCGAUUUGGAAGAAAAAAUAAUUUCUUAUAUCGAUUUUUUAAUUCAGUUGAAUUUUUUCGAGAUACUGGAGAAUCAAUAUUUACCCAAAGUCUUAUUUUUCCUGACUAUAUCACAAGAGUAGCAAAUAUUUGCGGUUUUAAGUUCGGUUAGUCAGGCGUUGAUUUUUUUUCGCUUCUCUCAGUGUCUGCAACAGUAAAAAAUUUACGUGACAUUUAACUUGACCCCCCCCCCCCCCCAACCAGCUCAUGUUAACUCAACGCGAGCUGUGGUCCAUUACGCCUCAUCGGUGUAUGUUUUCCUCGAUUGAAAGAAGUUCCUAAAUUUAAUUCUGUCUCAUUCCGUAAUUUUAGGUAAGGCUGUAUUUGAAAAAGUUACUUUUUGACGCGAUUGUGGAGAAUUCCCCUUGCCAUGGUAACUAUAACUUCAGGGUUGCUAUAUUCAAAGGUUUGACCGGGAGGGAUGGGAUGCGCAAAUUCACGGAGACUUUGAUCACACUCAUCGUCUUGUCGGAGCACCACAGCCAACCGAAUAGGUCCAAGGAACUAUUCGUCCAUACAGUUAGGGUUCAUCUGCUAAACCCUCCUCCACAGUAUCUUGUUUCUUACGUGAAGACGGGGCCAUCAGAUCAGGAAUGGGAAGCGGAGAAGCCUCCCAUCUUUGAUCUAGUCUUUGUGGUCGGGAAUGAAACAGUUGGGUUUGCUGUCAAGGUCCAGUUGGGUGGAGCGGAGCCCCCCGCAAGAGUUUCCAGUACAGGAGGUCUUUUGACUUUUGAAUCUGAGCUACAAAAUGAGGUCGAGAACGUGACAAAGAAAGUGAUCGCAAAUCUUUGGUGUGGUGAUAAAUGGUGCGUGUUGAGUUAUUCGCACAAAGCCCAAAAUGAGCAACCUAAAUGCGGAGCGUUUCGUAUAGAGAAGAGAAAUAGAUGGCAAUCAGAAAUUACACUUCAGGUAUCAAACGACUCAAUCUCAAGGCCUCUUCACAAUCUUACCGGCUCUUUUUCGCUGAAUAACAACACAAAUCGAAAGAAGACCACUUUAAACACAGAUAGCUAACAUUUUUAAACUGUGCUCCAUGUGCGUAUGAUAUCAAAUGGGUAAAACGCCGUGUUUUUUGGUAGUUAAAAAGGACAUUAUUUUUCAAGACCUUUAAGUGGGCAAAACAUAGCUUUUUUAGGUUGUUAGAAGACUUAUUAGCAGAUUGUCAUACUGCUUAGUUAAGUACGUGAUAAUUAGAGGAGAGCUCGCAAUGCAAACGAGCGACUAUCAUCUUAAACAUUUUUGAACCGCAAUUUUAUAGUUUUUUAAAAUUUCAUCGUUACAAUCAUUGCCAGUUUUUAUCGUGAACAAUCACGAGGUGACAAUUUUUGGUCUUAAGACAUCAUAUUUUAUGAAAUAUGUUUUGCAGUUCAAUUAUGUAAAUAAUGAAAACUCAGAAUUCGGAUUAUU
rnacentral:lncRNA from 1 species